UACGGAGGAUCCAAGCGUUAUCCGGAUUUAUUGGGUUUAAAGGGUGCGUAGGCGGCCUGUUAAGUCAGGGGUGAAAGACGGUAGCUCAACUAUCGCAGUGCCCUUGAUACUGAUGGGCUUGAAUGGACUAGAGGUAGGCGGAAUGAGACAAGUAGCGGUGAAAUGCAUAGAUAUGUCUCAGAACACCGAUUGCGAAGGCAGCUUACUAUGGUCUUAUUGACGCUGAGGUGCGAAAGCGUGGGGAGCAAACAGG
rnacentral:rRNA from 1 species